rnacentral:rRNA from 1 species
AGGACGAACGCUGGCGGCGUGCUUAACACAUGCAAGUGGAGCGACGAACCAGGGCUUGCCCUGGGGCAAAGCCGCGAACGGGUGAGUAACACGUGGGUAACCUGCCCCGAUGACUGGGACAACCCGAGGAAACUCGAGCUAAUACCAGAUGAUUUCACGGCUCAUGAGAGCCAUGAGGAAAGGAAGCUUCGGCCUCCGCAUUGGGAUCGGGGCCCGCGGCGCAUUAGCUUGGUUGGUGAGGUAACGGCUCACCAAGGCGACGAUGCGUAGCUGGUCUGAGAGGACGAUCAGCCACACGUGGGACUGAGA